GACGAACGCUAGCGAAGGCUUAACACAUGCAAGUCGAGGGACCGGCGGAUGGGUGCGUAACGCGUAUGCAACUUGCCUCACAGAGGAGAAUAACCCGGAGAAAUCCGGACUAACGCCCCAUACUGUGAGAUAGGCAUGCGUCCUAUUAGGUAGUUGGUGAGGUAACGGCUCACCAAGCCGACGAGAGGUAGGGGUGCUGAGAGGCAGGUCCCCCACAUUGGGACUGAGGCACUGCCCAAACUCCUACGGGAGGCAGCAGUGAGGAAUAUUGGUCAAUGGAGGAAACUCUGAACCAGCCAGGUCGCGUGAAGAAGGAAUGUCUUAGGAUUGUAAACUUCUUUAGCGAGCGAGUCAGUAGCUCGAGAAUAAGUAUCGGCUAACUCCGUGCCAGCCGCCGCGGUAAUUC
rnacentral:rRNA from 1 species